UCGUCAAGAGGUCGAUACGGAACUGACUGGCUUUCGAAUCGUCACUCUUGAUGCUC
rnacentral:pre_miRNA from 1 species